GAUGAACGCUGGCGGCGUGCCUAAUACAUGCAAGUCGAACGGAGAUUGUAGCAAUACGGUCUCAGUGGCGAACGGGUGAGUAACGCGUUGGUGACCUGCCCCAAAGAGCGGGAUAACAGUUCGAAAGGACUGCUAAUACCGCAUGUGAUCUCCGGGAUCAGAAGCCUGGAGAUGGAAGGGAGAAAUCCGCUUUGGGAGGGACCUGCGUCCCAUCAGCUAGUUGGUAGGGUAACGGCCUACCAAGGCGAUGACGGGUAGGGGACCUGAGAGGGUGGCCCCCCACAAUGGAACUGAAACACGGUCCAUACACCUACGGGUGGCAGCAGUAGGGAAUAUUGGUUAAUGGGCGAAAGCCUGAACCAGCAACGCCGCGUGUGCGAUGAAGGCCUUCGGGUCGUAAAGCACUUUUUGAAGGGAUGAGGAAGGACAGUACCUUCAGAAUAAGUCUCGGCUAACUACGUGCCAGCAGCCGCGGUAAAACGUAGGAGACAAGCGUUAUCCGGAUUUACUGGGCGUAAAGCGCGUGCAGGCGGCACGGAAAGUUGGAUGUGAAAGCUCCCGGCUUAACUGGGAGAGGUCGUUCAAAACUACCGAGCUAGAGGAUGGGAGAGGGAAGUGGAAUUCCGGGUGUAGUGGUGAAAUGCGUAGAUAUCCGGAGGAACACCAGUGGCGAAAGCGGCUUCCUGGCCCAUAACUGACGCUCAGACGCGAAAGCUAGGGUAGCAAACGGGAUUAGAGACCCCGGUAGUCCUAGCCGUAAACGAUGUAGACUUGGCGUUGGCGGGUUUAAAUCCGUCGGUGCCGAAGCAAACGCGAUAAGUCUACCGCCUGGGGAGUACGGCCGCAAGGUUA
rnacentral:rRNA from 1 species